rnacentral:rRNA from 1 species
AUUGAACGCUGGCGGCAGGCCUAACACAUGCAAGUCGAGCGGAGCGGCGGACGGGUGCGUAAUACCUAUGAAUCUGCCUGAUAGUGGGGGAUAACGUUAGGAAACGGACGCUAAUACCGCAUCCUCUCAGAUGAGCCUAGGUCGGAUUAGCUAGUUGGUGGGGUAAUGGCUCACCAAGGCGACGAUCCGUAACUGGUCUGAGAGGAUGAUCAGUCACACGGGAACUGAGACACGGUCCAGACUCCUACGGGAGGCAGCAGUGGGGAAUAUUGGACAAUGGGCGAAAGCCUGAUGCAGCCAUGCCGCGUGUGUGAAGAAGGUCUUCGGAUUGUAAAGCACUUUAAGUUGGGAGGCGUUACCAACAGAAUAAGCACCGGCUAACUUCGUGCCAGCAGCCGCGGUAAUUC